rnacentral:rRNA from 1 species
GAUGAACGCUGGCGGCGUGCCUAAUACAUGCGAGUCGAGCGAACGGACGAGAAGCUUGCUUCUCUGAUGUUAGCGGCGGACGGGUGAGUAACACGUGGAUAACCUACCUAUAAGACUGGGAUAACUUCGGGAAACCGGAGCUAAUACCGGAUAAUAUUUUGAACCGCAUGGUUCAAAAGUGAAAGACGGUCUUGCUGUCACUUAUAGAUGGAUCCGCGCUGCAUUAGCUAGUUGGUAAGGUAACGGCUUACCAAGGCAACGAUGCAUAGCCGACCUGAGAGGGUGAUCGGCCACACUGGAACUGAGACACGGUCCAGACUCCUACGGGAGGCAGCAGUAGGGAAUUUUCCGCAAUGGGCGAAAGCCUGACGGAGCAACGCCGCGUGAGUGAUGAAGGUCUUCGGAUCGUAAAACUCUGUUAUUAGGGAAGAACAUAUGUGUAAGUAACUGUGCACAUCUUGACGGUACCUAAUCAGAAAGCCACGGCUAACUACGUG